rnacentral:rRNA from 1 species
CCUACGGGAGGCAGCAGUGGGGAAUCUUAGACAAUGGGGGCAACCCUGAUCUAGCCAUGCCGCGUGAGUGAUGAAGGCCUUAGGGUUGUAAAGCUCUUUCAGCUGGGAAGAUAAUGACGGUACCAGCAGAAGAAGCCCCGGCUAACUCCGUGCCAGCAGCCGCG